GUAGGUGGCAAGCGUUGUCCGGAUUUACUGGGUGUAAAGGGCGUGCAGCCGGGAAGACAAGUCAGAUGUGAAAUCCCGCGGCUCAACCGCGGAACUGCAUUUGAAACUGUUUUUCUUGAGUAUCGGAGAGGUAACCGGAAUUCCUAGUGUAGCGGUGAAAUGCGUAGAUAUUAGGAAGAACACCAGUGGCGAAGGCGGGUUACUGGACGACAACUGACGGUGAGGCGCGAAAGCGUGGGGAGCAAA
rnacentral:rRNA from 1 species